rnacentral:rRNA from 1 species
GACGUAGGGGGCGAGCGUUGUCCGGAUUUAUUGGGCGUAAAGCGUGCGUAGGCGGCUGCGCAAGUCGGGUGUGAAACCCCGGGGCUCAACCCCGGAACUGCAUCCGAUACUGCGUGGCUAGAGGUAGGUAGGGGAGAUCGGAAUUCCUGGUGUAGCGGUGAAAUGCGCAGAUAUCAGGAGGAACACCGGUGGCGAAGGCGGAUCUCUGGGCCUUACCUGACGCUCGGGCACGAAAGCUAGGGGAGCGAACAGG